rnacentral:lncRNA from 1 species
UUCAGAGAUUACCCGUUUGCCGUUUGCAUACCAACACCACUUCUGACGUGAUGCUGAUAUGUCUCAUUUUUUGCACGCAUGUACAAAGGUGUAUCCUCAAUAUCUCCAAGCUUCAGAGACGACGGCAGCUUGCCCGCCUUAUCGAAGUCGCGUUGGCGCGGCGAAUGUGAAGCCAGUCCCAGCUGCAACAAGUAAUUACCAACUAGUGGUUGGGGCACGCCCGUGGCGUGCCUCUUGAGGCGUAUAUGUGCGCAUUUGUAUUGCUGAUGCGCCUCACCACGUUCUAUGUGGUCAUUUCACAGGUUCACACACAUUUGUCUUCUAGUAAUAGCAAAAUAAGAUUUGUUAGAAUGAAGUUAUGGGUUUUCUUUUCUCUACAAGAUGAAAGUUUGCCUUAAUAAACAAAAGCAAAGCUUUACUCGGCAGCACAGAAAAAAUAAACAAUAAAAUAAGAUGAUGACGUGAAAUGAAUCAAUAUUUUCCUUGCCAUUCAAAUCAAAAGAAGAAAAAAAACUUUACCAACAUUAUAUGUACCAUCAUUGCACAUAGCAACAACUCAAGAAUUCACAGGACCCCCUUCAAUUUGUUAAACACCCCUGCCGCCACCCACUUAGGCCUCCUUUGGUUUAGAGGAAUUUCAUAGGAAUUCUAGAGGAUAGGAUUCUUAUAGGAUUUUUUCCUUUAGAGCCUUUUGGUUCAUAGGAAUGGAUUCCUAUUCCUACAUAGGAUUGGUUCCUAUCCUCCACAUUUCAUAGGAAAAUAAAAAAGAGCCUAGACUCAAUGGAAAAAUUACUUUGGUGUCAACCAAAUGACAUCUUGUUUCCUAUUCCUACUCAUAGGAUUUGAGAUACAUGUCAUCUCAUUUCCUACAAGAUUCCUAUUCCUAUGAUAAUCCUAUCCUAUGAACCAAAAGAAGCAUUAGAGUUUUGUGCCCUUGCUGCACAGCUAUCCUCAUCGAUCCUAUGAUCACCAAUGCAACUCCUCUUGUGUUUCCUUUUGUAAGGCAUGUAACAUCCAACAAAAGCAAUAUUCUUUAAACUUCCUUUAAUAUAAAAUAUGGAAAUUCAUUUACCUGAGAUGUAAAAGAACAAUUGGAGGUAAUCAGUGCAAAAUUCUGAACCACCAUCAAAUAAAGACAAUGAUGUGUUGCAGAAUGUAGCCACUAAAGUAGUCAAAAUAAUAGAUUAGCCCCUUUUGACAACAUACAUAUAUAAUCAGGAAGCAUCAGAUGAAUAUUAAACUACUAAAGUCUCUUGCUGCGAAACAUAACAAAAACGUAUUUAUUGCCAUGCACCUUGUUGGACUGCAUUUGCCGGCUACUUAGAUGUCCAGUUUGAAAUAAAGUAUUCAUCAAAUAGCAGCGAUAUAAGACCUAUUGUGUCCCAGAAAAAUUCCAAGACAAUAAAAAUGACAUAUCAUAUUGAGACGACAAUACUAACUCAACCUGAAGUUGUUGACCCAAGUCUUAAAAGAACACCCGAAUCACCGUGAUGUUUCAAUCUCAAAUGGGUGGUUUAAUUGAGAACAAAAUAUAUCAAGUACUCCCUCCGUCCCAUAAUGUAAGACGUUUUUUGACACUACACUAGAGCCAAAAAACGUCUUACAUUAUGGGACGGAGGGAGUACAAAGGAAUUAAGAAAGAAUGUGCUCAUCGUGGUAAUCAUAGAAGUAUGAUGGCACCAAAUAGUCCAAAUUUAUGUAUAUCUAUCUUUCCCAAAGCAUCACCCAUGGGCCAUGGUUCCCUUGAUUUAUUUGCUACCAUCAAAAGAAGGCUUCAGCCUGUAUGUAUGGAAUAUUUUAGGGGAAGUAAAUUACAGAACGGCCUAUUGGUGUAAGAUGAAGAGAAUGUCUUAUCUAUGCAAGAAACCAGUAGCUUUAUAGGCAGCAUGAGCAACGGCUGAAAUCAUGCAGAAACCUAACAAAAAUAUCACUUCACACAUAAAUUACGUCAACUAAUAGCUCUAUUUCUUCACCAUCAGGUUCAUAUAAGCAGACAGAGAACAUCAUACUCUCAAGUCAGUGCUUGUGAAACUUACAUAUUUCUACAACACCUAAUUGGCAACAGUAAGCUUAUGUGAUCUCUGCACAAACCAGGACCUAAAUGACGGUUUUCAUAGUUCGAGGACCUACGUGACACCUCUAAAAUAGUUUAAGGACCUAUGAUGCACUUCACUCUAAUCUAAAAUACGUAUUGCCAGUGAUUUCUAUUCCCAAAUCAAAGGGGCAGCAAGGCUUCACAAACUCCUCCAUCUCAUAGAAACGGAGCUAAGCCACCGACGUCGUCCCUUCUCAAGCUGUCGCAGGAGAGAGAGAGAGAGAGAGAGAGAGAGAGAGAGAGAGGGAGAGAGAGAGAGAGAAACCUGGGCAUGCGACCGAUGGCGGGGAGAGACUGGGGCGGCGCCUUUGGAUCUCGGCUUUCUUGGUGUCAUUGCAGACUGCUUGGCUGCCGAUCUAGUGCGUACGACCAUGUCAGCUACCUCCAUGGAUCUGGAGUUUAGGCAAAGGAGAAACGGGGCAAGAGAGAGGAGAGGGAAGGGGAGAUGGGACGGCGGCCUGUCUGAGGAAGCGAUAGGGAAGGGGGGAGGUGUUGCGUGCGCUCGAAUGAAAAGGAAAGGUGAGGGAAGUUUGCUUCGAGGGGAAGGGAAAGCAG